rnacentral:tRNA from 1 species
UGCUGUGUCAGCUAUAAAGCUAACGGGUUCAUACCUCGUUAAUCUGAUAAAUUGCCUGAUUA